AUUAAUUCUGGCAACCCCCUUCCGCCUUUCCCUUUGCGCGAAAUAAAAACCUCGCUGAAGUUCCGUAAGUUGGACUGUGACACCAGCAAUGGAUGGUUUUACUUGGGAGGUAGUAAAUGUUACAAAGUAUUCGCGGGGAAUAACCGAAGAGCCUAUGCCAGGGCAAAAGAUAUAUGUGUGAGCUAUGGAUCUCGACUAGCAACAAUCAAAGACCAGUUUGAAUCUGACAGUCUCGGUAGUAAAGUCAGUCAGCUUGUUCCAGAG